AACGAACGCUGGCGGCAUGCCUAACACAUGCAAGUCGAACGGCACCUUCGGGUCUAGUGGCUCACGGGUGCGUACCGCGUGGGAACCUGCCCAUCGGUUCGUGAUCUCUCCCCGGAAGUGGUCCUACUACCGCAUAAUUUCUACGGCCCACAGAUUUCUUGACCUAGCAUGGGCCCUCCUGGGAUUACCCAGUUGGUAGGGGAAAAGCCUAUCAAGGCGACAAUCCAUAGCUGGGCUGUGAGAAUGAGCAGACACUCUGGGAGUGAGACACGGCCCAGACUCCUACGGGAGGCAGCAGUGGGGGAUACAGGAAAGUGGGCGGAGGGCAGAAGCAGCAAGGCUGGGUGAGCGAUGAAGUCCGUAGGGUAGUAAAGGGCUUUUACACGGGAGGAGAAUGACAGUACCGGGAGAAUAAGCUCCGGCUAACUACGUG
rnacentral:rRNA from 1 species